AUGAGGGAUGCUCAAGAGGGGAAGAUCAAGUUCAACAGAGAGAACGACGCGCUGACAAAAGCCCUCGGGAAUCCUGAACACGGAGGACGUGUACGAGGCAUGGGGCACAUUCCGUGGAAAAUAGGGUUCUCCCAGAACGAUGACCCGUACGGUUACAGAAGCCGGAAGAGAAAGAUGGAUCGGGAAGCAGAUGUUGUGGCGCGGUUGGCAUCGGAAAUGGAUGUGAUGAAGAAAACCGUGAGUGUACUAGUAGCCGAACGAGAUGCAGCUCGGGCGCAGCAUGAAGAUCAUCCAGCGAAUCUCAAAAGCCAGCAGCGGAGAAGCAGUGUGGCUUCCACGGAGGCCCCACCGGCUGGUGCAGAUGCACCGACGAUCGAAAUUACUGCACCGGAGCCUCUGGUGGUCGAAAUUACUGCACCGGAGCCUCUGGUGGUCGAAAUUACUGCACCGGAGCCUCCUCGCUACCCCGUGGACGAUAUAAAGGAGAUGAAAGAAUGUCAUCUGUAUUAUCCUAUCGGGAACAUGUCCAUGAAGGUAGCCAUCGGCAGUGCUUUACCAUGUUUACCUAGAGCACUCCACCACAACAACCCCAUUCAAGAUGGCUAUGCUCGUGUCACGGUGGAGGACAUAGUCCAAGGGUUUGAGGACCUGGAGAUUGACAUUUGCUACACCUGA
rnacentral:rRNA from 1 species